GGCAGUUAGCUGCAGUCAUUUCAUCUCUAUCCUUUCCACUCUCUUCAUUCUCCCUCUCCCAAAUCCAAAGAAGUGCUCGGUGCUCCUGCAGGUGUUCUCCAACGGAAAAGAUGGCCGAUGCUGCUGGCCAAAAGGUUUGUGGAGUUUGUUUGAACCGUUGCAACUAUGAGACCAAGGAAAGCGGUUUCAGCAUGUUUGCAUGGGAGAAGUUCAAAAAUGGAGGGGUUGUGCCAUGUAAUGAAAGGGUCCGUUUCAACAACAUGACGGGAGAGAAGGUGACAUUUGUGGCAAACCAACGGGCGUACACCAUAAAGUGUUAGAAGGGUCAUACAAAGAGAACAAUGUAUGGGAGAGGUUGGAGGAAUUUCUAUGAAGACAAUAAGCUGGGGUCAGAUGGCGGUGUUCUUCCUGGAUGAAUCUUCGCCUAGGGCAGUUAUUUGUGUGAUCCAGGUGGGCAACGGCUCCGAAGAUGGACAACCUAUGGAAGAGGGUGAUCCCAUUGAAGAUUUAGAUUCAGAUGAUGAGGAUGGAGAAGCUUCAAGUGACGAUGGUGAAGACAUUGUUCACAGUACGGGGCUUCAGCUUAAUGAGAUAGAGGAUUUUCAGCUAUAAGGGUUGCUGCCUCUCAGUGAUGACUUCAUCGGGUUUCCUUUCGUUCACCGCCUCACAAGGACAGAUGUUCGUUUGCACACGAUGGCUCUCAUGGAUGCCCGCAAGCAGAUUGAACGCCAGAUCGAAACUAAAACCGAGGCAUCCUUGAAACAAGGGUUAGGUCAACAGCCUAAAAUUGAUCAUAUGGAGAAGACUAAAGCUGAAACAAAAGAUUGCUUGAACAGUGUGCCGCACACAUGUACAGAUAUUGAAGACAGAGAAACCAACCCUGGGAGUAACAUAAAUGAAGAAGGCAGAGACCAGUUUGUUGAAGAUACUGAUUUAGAAUAGAGAGGCCAUGAUGUUGAGAUCGCUGACACUGAAGCAUCAGAGGGUUUGCUGUACGAAGAAGUUGCGACACUACUUUUUCUUUUUUUCAUCAAUUGGGGUUCCAUUUUUUUUGUAGUUCCGGU